rnacentral:rRNA from 1 species
AUUGAACGCUGGCGGCAUGCCUUACACAUGCAAGUCGAACGGCAGCACGGGUGCUUGCACCUGGUGGCGAGUGGCGAACGGGUGAGUAAUAUAUCGAAACGUACCUUAUUGUGGGGGAUAACGCAGCGAGAGCUGUGCUAAUACCGCAUAAUCCCUAAGGGGGAAAGCGGGGGACCGUAAGGCCUCGCGCAAUUAGAGCGGCCGAUACCUGAUUAGCUAGUUGGUGAGGUAAAGGCUCACCAAGGCAACGAUCAGUAGCUGGUCUGAGAGGACGAUCAGCCACACUGGGACUGAGACACGGCCCAGACUCCUACGGGAGGCAGCAGUGGGGAAUUUUGGACAAUGGGGGCAACCCUGAUCCAGCAAUGCCGCGUGAGUGAAGAAGGCCUUCGGGUUGUAAAGCUCUUUUGUCAGGGAAGAAACACCGGCUCUAACACAGUCCGGGAAUGACGGUACCUGAAGAAUAAGCACCGGCUAACUACGUGCCAGCAGCCGCCGCAG